rnacentral:rRNA from 1 species
GACGAACGCUGGCGGCGUGCCUAAUACAUGCAAGUCGAGCGCAGGAAGCCGUCUGAACCCUUCGGGGGGACGACGGUGGAAUGAGCGGCGGACGGGUGAGUAACACGUAAAGAACCUGCCCAUAGGUCUGGGAUAACCACGAGAAAUCGGGGCUAAUACCGGAUGUGUCAUCGGACCGCAUGGUCCGCUGAUGAAAGGCGCUCCGGCGUCGCCCGUGGAUGGCUUUGCGGUGCAUUAGCUAGUUGGUGGGGUGACGGCCCACCAAGGCGACGGUGGGUAGCCGAGCUGAUAGGGUGAUCGGCAAGACUGGGACUGAGACACGUCCAAGACUCCUAAGUGAGGCAUCAGUAGGGAAUCUUCCAAAAUGGACGAAAGGCUGAUGGAGCAACGCAGCGUGAACGAUGAAGGCUUUCGGGUCUUAAAGUUCUGUUGUAAGUGAAGAACAGGUGCCGCAGGCAAUGGCGGCACCUUGACGGUACCUUGCGAGAAAGCCACGGCUAACUACGUGCCAGCCGCCGCCGUAA